AGCUGUGCAUACUUAAAGCAGUGCUUAAAGCAACUCAGGGCAAGUGUGUCUGGCUAUUGCUGAUGGCCAAGCACACCAGGACUUCCUGAGGGCUGCAGUCUGCUGGCUGGCAAAAGUCUCUCAUGGCUCCCACCGAACAACCACAAACCAAGAGAAUAAUUCUUUACCAAGCAGAAACAAUUGCAUUUGAAAUGUCUCAUGGCAUGGCCUAUUUUAAUGUGCCACAAUGAAACUUAUGAAGAGCCCAUUACACUGGCAGCUGAGAGGACACAACAAGGAAAUAUUUGAUAUUUAUAUAUUUGAGGACAGAAAGGAGUUUGAAGACACGUGACUUAAAAGAGCUGAUUUCCUGGACAAAGAAUAUCUGAGCAUUACACUUCCAGUGACUGUGAGACCUCAUGAGGUGUAGUCUAUGAGAACACGAAAGAUGAUGUAAAAGAACCUCACCAAAACUCAUAUUAAAGCAAUCAUCUGGAUGGAUGUGAAUUACUUUGUUUACCUAAACAGUAAAGGAGUGCCUGAGAUCUGCUACUACAUUCAACUUCAAGACCUUGCAGAUUUGCUCUGUAAAGAAAAAUUCUUUGCUGUUUCUUGUGUGCUUUGCUCAGUUUGAAAGAUGAUAGAGCUGAUUUUUGAAUCUGAUCAUUGGUUGGUUGCAAUGAGAACUCAUCCUGGGGCGGGAGAAAUACCUGAGGACAGUCAAGGUCUUUUGGAAUUUAGACAGAAGUCUCAACAUUAAUAUUUACACCUCCCCCUGCCAGGAAUAUGUCUCUGAGGGAGGCUGCUGCCAUGCUGUACCACUGAUUUUAUCCUUACUAUAAUAUUAGGAGAAGAGCAUCCCUCCUGACAGGGAAAGGGGAGCUUGAGGGCAACUUCAUAACUUAGCAAAUGCCAUCAGAGACAAAAAUUAAUGCUAUGUAUUAAAUAAUUAAUUAACCAUGCAUUGGAGAAAAGGCCCAUCUAGAUGCUGGAGCUGUGAUCACUGACAGCAGACACCUGGCAGCUGAAAUGCUGGAAGACACAUUUCCAAACUCCUUUGAUUCAUUUGUGCUGUGCUGGCAUCCUCUGGUUAGCUGCAGAGCUCCCAGCCUGCUGAGAGGGCUUCUGCAGAAUUUUGAUAUCUUCUGGAGUUAAUAUUGCCAAUAUUGCCUUUCUAGUGCUGGUGCCUGCCCAGCCUGGAGCCACUCCUUCAGACAGAGCUAGAAAUAGGAAUUGUAAAAGUGCCAAUUUGUAUCUGAAUGUGGAAGAAAGCUUAAAAUAUAAUUAAAAUUAAAUUAUAAUUGUGAGACUGGUUCAGCACAGCCUUAGACUACACUGCUCCCAAUUAAGAGCUUCUGCAUUGCAAAAUAGUAAGAAUGAAAAUCAGUCCAAGGCUGCUUUGGUUUUAUUUGGUUUUGAUUUUUUUGUUAGUUGAUUGUUUGUGUUGAUUUUUUAAAAUUUGUUGUCAGUUUUUUGUCUGUUGCUUUAUUUUUUUUUUUUAACUGAAAUGUCAGUGAUGUGAAACAAGUUAGGGAAACUAAAAGGGCUUCUUGGCCUCCUUGCCAUGAAAGGAAUCUCCCCACUACAGACACAGGAGUCUUAACCUGAGAGCAGAGCCUCUCAAAGGUGGCACAAGGCACUGAAUUUCCUUUAAAAUAGGCAUUUCAUGGUCCAAAGUGUGUGUUUGAGAGGGGGAGCAGUGAGGAGCCCUGCUUUGAGAGAGAAUUCUUGUUGCUUUCACACACCACUGGGCUGACAAAUCUGAAAUGGUUGCAGAGAUUCCUGAAUUGUCUUUAAAUUGGAAUUUAAUGUUCAAAACAAACAGCUCCCUUUUUUUUUUUUUCCCUCUUGUUUUCACCAACCUCAGUUUGAGUUCCUGAAUGUUUUUUGUAUCAUUUUGAGCUGUUGUGCUUUUGGCUUUGCUGCCUCUGAGGCUGCAGAAAUCUCUCUCACUGUGGGGAACACAAAGCCCUCAGUACUGUGGUGGGUUAGAGCUGCCUCUGCUGCCUCAGACUUUGUGAUAAAACAGGAAAAGCCAUUAAAAACAACCCUAAACCCACAAAAAAAAUCCUAAUGCAAAAUUCUCUUCUUUUGUGAAUAGUGGUUGUCAUCAGCUUUCUUUAAAUCAAUAUAUAAGUAGUGCAGAAGCCAAAGUUAGUCGAGGGUUGAUGAUGAUUGUGGAAGGAGCCUCUGUAAGCCACAUUCUGCUUUCUCACAUCACCUUCCCCCAAAGAAACCACCUGAAAAAUCUUUUCCAGUGCUUCUUCCUUCUGCGUGAUUUCAUUGUACUGACCUCGGUUCUACUGGAUCAUUCAGGCUAAGGCUCCAUCACUCACUAAUGUUUCAAAACAUAUUCAAACCUCUAAUUAGCUUUUAAAAAAAUAUAUUUAGCUCAUUAUCCUGUUUCAAAAUUCUAAUGGAAUGGCACUGCUGCUACUGUGACAUAUUCCAUAUUCAGAGAAAAAGUGAAUUUCUGAGACAUGAGAAAUGUAACAUCCUGGCACCCUUGGCAGGGCAAGAAUCUGAUGUUAACACAUCCUUGCUGGAGAAACCAAAGGGGGGGGAAAAUUAGUUUGGCUGUUCUGCAGUGAUGAAAGUACUUUUACUUCUUUCAGCCUGAUACUCUUAAACCCUACAAUAUUCAAGAAAAAAAAAAAAAACCAAACCCCAAAGCCCAAUAAAACUUCCCAAAAAACCCUAGAACACUCAGCCCUAAACAUCAUCUGUAAAAAUAAUUAUUAGUGAACUUCCAUAUAAAUAUACAUAUAUACACACACUGGGAGAACAUGUGCAGGGAACCUUAAUUUAAUUUCUUACUAAAAUCUUGUGUCCUUGUAAUUACUUCAAAGACCAGUACUCCAUUUUUAAUAUUUCUUGAAAGGCCUGUUAGGGCAAUGCCUUUAAAACAGGGACAUUGCAAUUUAAAACUGCUUUUUAUAUACUGGGGAGUGGCAAAAGAGACAAAGAGAAUGAUCAUCCUGCUGUUACAAAAAAAAGGCUGGGUGGGAAUGCAUGUUUAAUCUUAGAGAAGUGCAAGUCUUUUGUAGUGCUUUGGUUUUUGGAAAAACUGAGCUAGAAUCCAAAUGGCAACAUUUUGAGUUAUGUGAUGAAAAACACAAAGCAGAGAUUAAGAAUAGUGAAUAUUUACAACACUGAUGCCCUCAGUAUAGCUCCAGGCAGUUAUUAAAUAGCAGAUCAUUUUUCUCCAAGUGAAAAAAAGGGUUGUAUUCAUCUGUGUGAUAAUACUGUAAACAAUGAAUUUUAGCCUACUGAAUUUCAGUGUUUAAUGCAACAUUUUCAUUGAGUUUAAUAAAAUGUGUUUGUGUCGUGUG